UUUAUUUUUAAGAUAUAGAGUCUCACUAUGUUGCUGAGGCUGGUCUCAAACUCCUGGUCUCAAGGGAUCUUCCUGCCUCAGCCUCCUAAAGCGCUAGUAUUACAGGCAUGAUCCAAGCCACCUUGCCUGGCCCCACAGUCUCCUUUCAAUUUGGUCCAGGCCAAGGAAAGGCUGAUAAUGAAAAACCAUCGUCACAUAUAUUAUGUGGUUGAUUCUUCACAGCAGUUCUGUGAGAUCAAUAUUAUCCUCAUCUUAUAGAUGUGAACACUGAGGCUUGGGGAUAUCAAGGACACAGAGCCAGGCCUUAGUCUCAGGCCUCUGACUCAGUGUCUGCUGCCGAUCUCAUUUCCUCCACCCUUCCACCUCUCCACCCCAAACUCUCCAUGUCAAUUCCCACAGUCCCUUCAUGGGCUGAGCUCCCACAGUCUAAAUGGGACUUGAGUUCUUUUUUUUCCAUUUCGUAGUUGAGAAGCAAAGACUCCAGAGUGGGGGUGGGGCUGGGGGUAUUUUUUGUUUCUAAACCAGAAAACAGCUAGUUGACGUACUUGAUUCUGUCUACCACACCCACCAACAUGACUGGAGGUCCAGUGAGAAGUAUAUGUUUACAAAUAUUUUCAAUCACUUUUCUAUAUCAGCAGCAUCCCCC
rnacentral:lncRNA from 10 species